CUCUUCUCUUCUCUUCUUCUUGCUUCUUCUCUUUUUCUGAAUCUCCGAUCGACGCCCACGCCCACGCCCACUCGCCCAGUGCCACGCCCACGCCGACGACGCCCAGUGCCCACGUGAAAGUUUCUCUCGCAGCGCAGCUACGUUUCAUUGGACAACUAGCCUAGUUCGUCUACCACAUUUGCUGCAAGUAUUUUCUGGUAGAAGUUCGACCUCGAAGUUGAUGGCAAAUCCAGGAUGUAAUAAUCAGAGUCACCUUCUGGUAAUGGUAUAGACCUGGCUAAGAGCAAUAGAUGGUAUCUUGGGGAACUGAUGUAACCUUUGUAAUGUAUAAUAUGUUUCCCUAUUGGAAAUUUAUGACUUUGUGAAAAGCUACUCUUUUAUAGAUAUAUAUAAAAUAGAUGGAUAAAAUCUAUAACUAUUAGAGGUAUGCUUUAUGUAAAUUAUUUUUUAUUAUUUUUUAUU